CACUCUAGAGAGACUGCCAGGGAUAACCUGGAGGAAGGUGGGGAUGACGUCAAAUCAUCAUGCCCCUUAUGCUUAGGGCUACACACGUGCUACAAUGGGUAGUACAGAGGGUUGCCAAGCCGUAAGGUGGAGCUAAUCCCUUAAAGCUACGCUCAGUUCGGAUUGUAGGCUGAAACUCGCCUACAUGAAGCUGGAGUUACUAGUAAUCGCAGAUCAGAAUGCUGCGGUGAAUGCGUUCCCGGGUCUUGUACACACCGCCCGUCACACCACGGGAGUUGGAG
rnacentral:rRNA from 1 species